rnacentral:misc_RNA from 1 species
UCCGGUUUGGCACCGGCAGUCUUCCUAGAGUCCCCGCCAUUACGCGCUGGCAACUAGGGAUAAGGGUUGCGCUCGUUAAGGGACUUAACCCGACAUCUCACGAUACGAGCUGACGACAGCCAUGCAGCACCUGUCUCUCUGCCCCCGAAGGGGAAACUCUAUCUCUAGAGCUGUCAGAGGAUGUCAAACCCAGGUAAGGUUCUUCGCGUUGCAUCGAAUUAAACCACAUGCUCCACCGCUUGUGCGGGCCCCCGUCAAUUCCUUUGAGUUUUAAUCUUGCGACCGUACUUCCCAGGCGGGGUACUUAAUGCGUUAGCUGCGGCACUGCAGGGGUCAAUUCCUGCAACACCUAGUACCCAUCGUUUACGGCGUGGACUAC